GGUGGAUAAAAAAGGACAGACAGAAACAUGUAUGAGAACUAUUGAGAACAGUGGAUUUUAAUAGUUUAAAAAAUCCUUUGACAUCUUACACCUGCUAAUCCCAUGGACAAAGUUGCUCUGGAGAGAAAGGGAGUAAAAGCUUUGACCUGAGUGCCAAUUUAUUUAUUUAUUAAUGAGCUUCAAUGUCCAUAAGGUAAGGACUGCUGGCAGCGGACAGUGACGUGAAACCGACUAUGUCAGAGAAGUAUAUUGUCACCAUGUCAUAAGUCUCUGGGUCAACAGGAAGUCCUUGUUUCAGCUUCUCUGAGACUUCCCUUAUAGCAAUAAACAAUUUGGCAAUUAGACCUCGUAACUUAGGACACUAAACUACGUUCUAUUAAUGGUGGUUUGAAGUCAGACGAUAGUCAUGUUUUGAAUGAAAUUCUAGGCCUACAACAAUAAAUGGUUGCCAUUACAUUU